rnacentral:rRNA from 1 species
UACGGGGGGGGCAAGCGUUGUUCGGAAUUACUGGGCGUAAAGGGCGCGUAGGCGGUUGGAUAAGUCAGCUGUGAAAACCACGGGCUUAACUCGUGGCCUGCAGUUGAGACUGUCUGGCUUGAGUGUGGGAGAGGAGAGUGGAAUUCCUGGUGUAGCGGUGGAAUGCGCAGAUAUCAGGAGGAACACCAAUAGCGAAGGCAGCUCGCUGGGACGGUACUGACGCUAAGGCGCGAAAGCGUGGGGAGCGAACAGG